AGCGACUUAUGAUUAUUGAAAGGUGCUUGCAUCAUUGAUUUAAUUUUGAACGAGUGGCGGACGGGUGAGUAACACGUGGGUAACCUGCCCUUAAGUGGGGGAUAACAUUUGGAAACAGAUGCUAAUACCGCAUAAAUCCAAGAACCGCAUGGUUCUUGGCUGAAAGAUGGCGUAAGCUAUCGCUUUUGGAUGGACCCGCGGCGUAUUAGCUAGUUGGUGAGGUAACGGCUCACCAAGGCAAUGAUACGUAGCCGAACUGAGAGGUUGAUCGGCCACAUUGGGACUGAGACACGGCCCAAACUCCUACGGGAGGCAGCAGUAGGGAAUCUUCCACAAUGGACGCAAGUCUGAUGGAGCAACGCCGCGUGAGUGAAGAAGGCUUUCGGGUCGUAAAACUCUGUUGUUGGAGAAGAAUGGUCGGCAGAGUAACUGUUGUCGGCGUGACGGUAUCCAACCAGAAAGCCACGGCUAACUACGUGCCAGCAGCCGCGGUAAUACGUAGGUGGCAAGCGUUAUCCGGAUUUAUUGGGCGUAAAGCGAGCGCAGGCGGUUUUUUAAGUCUGAUGUGAAAGCCCUCGGCUUAACCGAGGAAGUGCAUCGGAAACUGGGAAACUUGAGUGCAGAAGAGGACAGUGGAACUCCAUGUGUAGCGGUGAAAUGCGUAGAUAUAUGGAAGAACACCAGUGGCGAAGGCGGCUGUCUGGUCUGUAACUGACGCUGAGGCUCGAAAGCAUGGGUAGCGAACAGGAUUAGAUACCCUGGUAGUCCAUGCCGUAAACGAUGAAUGCUAGGUGUUGGAGGGUUUCCGCCCUUCAGUGCCGCAGCUAACGCAUUAAGCAUUCCGCCUGGGGAGUACGACCGCAAGGUUGAAACUCAAAGGAAUUGACGGGGGCCCGCACAAGCGGUGGAGCAUGUGGUUUAAUUCGAAGCAACGCGAAGAACCUUACCAGGUCUUGACAUCUUUUGAUCACCUGAGAGAUCAGGUUUCCCCUUCGGGGGCAAAAUGACAGGUGGUGCAUGGUUGUCGUCAGCUCGUGUCGUGAGAUGUUGGGUUAAGUCCCGCAACGAGCGCACCCUUAUGAC
rnacentral:rRNA from 1 species